UUGAACGCUGGCGGCAGGCCUAACACCUGCCAGUCGAACGGUAACAGGAAGCAGCUUGCUGCUUCGCUGACGAGUGGCGGACGGGUGAGUAAUGUCUGGGAAACUGCCUGAUGGAGGGGGAUAACUACUGGAAACGGUAGCUAAUACCGCAUAACGUCGCAAGACCAAAGAGGGGGACCUUCGGGCCUCUUGCCAUCGGAUGUGCCCAGAUGGGAUUAGCUAGUAGGUGGGGUAACGGCUCACCUAGGCGACGAUCCCUAGCUGGUCUGAGAGGAUGACCAGCCACACUGGAACUGAGACACGGUCCAGACUCCUACGGGAGGCAGCAGUGGGGAAUAUUGCACAAUGGGCGCAAGCCUGAUGCAGCCAUGCCGCGUGUAUGAAGAAGGCCUUCGGGUUGUAAAGUACUUUCAGCGGGGAGGAAGGCGAUAAGGUUAAUAACCUUGUCGAUUGACGUUACCCGCAGAAGAAGCACCGGCUAACUCCGUG
rnacentral:rRNA from 1 species